rnacentral:rRNA from 1 species
CACUCCUACGGGAGGCAGCAGUGGGGAAUAUUGCACAAUGGGGGAAACCCUGAUGCAGCCAUGCCGCGUGUGUGAAGAAGGCCUUCGGGUUGUAAAGCACUUUCAGUAGGGAGGAAGGUAGUGUAGUUAACACCUGCAUUAUUUGACGUUACCUACAGAAGAAGCACCGGCUAACUCCGUGCCAGCAGCCGCGGUAAUACGGAGGGUGCGAGCGUUAAUCGGAAUUACUGGGCGUAAAGCGCAUGCAGGCGGCCUGUUAAGUCAGAUGUGAAAGCCCGGGGCUUAACCUCGGAAUUGCAUUUGAAACUGGCAGGCUAGAGUCUUGUAGAGGGGGUAGGAAUUUCAGGUGUAGCGGUGAAAUGCGUAGAGAUCUGAAGGAAUACCAGUGGCGAAGGCGGCCCCCUGGACAAAGACUGACACUCAGAUGCGAAAGCGUGGGGAGCAAACAGGAUUAGAUACCCUGGUAG